rnacentral:rRNA from 1 species
UACGGAGGGGGCAAGCGUUAUUUGGAAUUAUUGGGCGUAAAGGGCGCGUAGGCGGCUAGAUGUGUCAAAGGUGAAAUCCCUCGGCUCAACUGAGGAACUGCCUUUGAAACUGUCUGGCUUGAGGCCGGGAGAGGGUAGCGGAAUUCCCAGUGUAGCGGUGAAAUGCGUAGAUAUUGGGAGGAACACCAGUGGCGAAGGCGGCUACCUGGACCGGUUCUGACGCUGAGGCGCGAAAGCGUGGGUAGCAAACAGG